CGCGGAGAAGCGGGAGCGCGGCCGAGGGUGGGGAGGAGGAGGAGAAACGAUGGAGAUCUGUGGGUGGAGUGGGGAAAGAGGCGAAAUAGAGAAAAGAGAGCGAGAGAUACUCCACUCUCUGCUACUCCAGCAGCAGCUCCAGCUUCAUCUGAUCCGCCGCCAUCAGCGCUACUUUUGUAACAGAUCCUACUCUGCGUGCGCGUGUGAAAAUGAAAGAACAGAUCCAGUAUUUAUGUCGGGUUUACAUCCUUUGUUUUAAGAGUCGCAUCAUCUUGAGUGUAUUAACUCACAACAAUUUCUAUAACACAGAGGAGUGUUCAUCUCUAUUUUAUAAAGAUGGCAAAAGGGUCAAAGCUGAGAUCCACAAAUGAAGAAUUGAGUGUUCGCAUUGCCCGGGCUCAAAGCCAGCACCAUAUUUCAGUUGCAAUCUGUAAAGCAUGCAGUCACUCAUCUACAUUGUUUCUGGAUUGGAGCUGGCACUUGGGAGCUGGUGGGAAGAACUCCCAGUUGUCUUCACCUAUCCACCUACCGGGGUACAACAGGUAACUGCAGAGUCAUGGGCCUGUGACAUGGAAGUUCUGCUUCACACAGGAUGUAAAAAAAAAACUGGCCAGUCUUCGCGAGCGAAGAUCCGGGGAAGGUCUUUACACCUUCCAGCCUGCGCAUUGGAUUUUUUUUUUUAGGUGAGACACAGUGUGUGCGGAACUGAGCCCACCCUUUAAUCCUAAGGUUCAUCUGCCAGGGCCAAGCGAGCUUGGACAGUGGCAGCGAGGUCCUUAGGACGUAGGUGGAUUGCCUUUAAGGGCUAACGAGCUCCACCUGCCCGGGGAGUGUCCCUGACCGGGAAUCGAACCCGGGCCUCGGCGCCGCGCCCUUACCACUAGACCACCAGGGGCUCAAUUCUAAUAGAAAUUAUGAGAUCUAGGGUAAAAAGAAGAUGUUGGGGAGUGGAUUAAAGGUUUGGAGAAAUGCAUGGAGGAAAGAGGGGGGAAAUGUGAACUAGUUCAGGUUGCACAAGACCAGGACAAAUUUACUUCUUAGAGUAUAAUUUAGGCAUCUCCUUAUUCCUGGGCUCCCACACUAAGGGUAGCAUUAUCAGUGUCACAGAAUCACAGAAUAUCCUUAGCUGUAAGGGUCCCUCAAGGAUCAUCGAGUCAAACUCCUGGCCCUGCACAGGGCCCUCCCCAAGUAUCACACCAUGUGCUGAGUGUAUCGUUCAAACACUGCUUGAACUCUUGUCAGGCUUGGUGCUGUGACCACUUCCCUGAGGAGCCUGUUCCAGUACCUAACCACCCUCUGGGUGAAGAACCUUUUUCUAAUAUCCGUCCUAAACCUCCCCUGACAGAGCUUCAGGCCAUUCCCUUGGGUCCUGUCCCUGGUCACCACAGAGAAGAGAUCACUGACCAUCCUCUUUCCCUCUCACGGAAGUUGUAACUGCAAUGAGCUCUCCCCUCAGUCUCCUCUUCUCCAGGCUGAACAGACCAAGUGACCUCAUCUGCUCCUUACACAGCUUCCCCUCAAGGCCCUUCACUUAGUUGUGGCUCAAAAGACCUACAUCUCGCAGUAGGCAACACAGUGACGGAUUAACACUCUGCCAACACCCCUUCAGAAUAAAAGGGAAUGCCUUACCUGGCUCCUUCCUUACUUGAAGGAUCAAGCAUAUGCCUGUUUCAUCUCUUCUCAACAGGAAGUGUUCAUGUUCAGUUCCCAGCUGUGUUGCCCCCAGAGGCCUGUUCAGCAACCCAGGGACACUGAGCUUGGGAAACAAGUGUUAUCCCAGUGGAGAAUCCACCAGAGUGGGCAACCAACAUGUGUUGGUCUAGUGAACACUGUAAGCAAAUGCCUGUGGAGUGCACUGAAAUUCAUGGAAGAAAGAGAGAAAUUGUCUACAUGUGGCUCCAGCAUGGAGAAGAAAUACACAGUUACAGACAAGCUGGUUGAGGUGCGAAGAAAAAGCCAAGGCUGGAAAAUGGAGCUGAGCAAGGCAUGGCAUUCAUGGGAAGAUCUGUGACCUACGACUCACGAUCAGCCUGCAAACUUUACAGGAUUUACAAGGAAACUUAAACUGGAGCCCAGUUUUGAGAAAAAGUGGACUCAAGUAACAAGUGUUACUGCAAGUGUUACUGCAAAAUUAAGUGAGGCUGGAAGUCAGCUCUUUGCCUUUUUUUGAAUCUGAAAUUUAGGAAGCCAAUGCCAUCCUGAAGCAUGGGGAAGAAAAGAAAGCAGGACUUAUUCCAUGAGCAAUGUGUUAUUUACUAAUUACUCACCCUUUUGCUUCACCUAAUUAUUUAUGGCUUAAAAAUUCAUUAAUAUGACAGGUAUUUAAUAAAGAUGCAGAAUGUUUAGAAAUGGUGAUCUCAUCCUAAAACCAUAUAUGGAUAUGAGUAAUUGGGCUCAAAUGAGUUCCCACUAGCUUCAAUUAAAAAAAGUGUGAUUGACUUAAAACAUAGAACUAGCAGAAUAAAGUUUCUUGAUAUGUCUUCAUCCUCCCAUAAUGCAGGAAAAAAAAAGUACAAAUGUAGUUUCAUCAUGAAAUUUUAAAAAGCCAUUAAAACCUCCUAAACAAGCAAUUUCUUUACAUUUGAUGAUUAAACUAUUUCCUUGCAUAGUCACAUUAUUUUAAAUACAUAGCUUCUAUGUACAGCAUAUUACAGCAAUGUUGUCCUGCAGAUAUUCUUAUUGAGAUUCCUAAAUAUUUGUUACACCUGACAAGUCCUUUUUUUUAAGCACUUAAAUAUAGUCUUGAAUGACAAACAACGAAAGUAAAUCUUUCUUUAUUCCUACUUCACUUCAUUCUAAAUUUAUUGCCUGUCAUAUCUGACCGAGACCUUUCUGUGAAGGAGCACAGGAGCGACAGGUAUUGAUAUAAUGAGGCAUCUUACAGAAAGUUUGCUUUGCACCUACUUGGUGGACUUGGCAGGGUUAGCUUUAUGUUUGGACUCUAUGUUAAAGAUCCUUUCCAACCUAAGUGAUUCUAUGAUUCUACUGAAAUUAUUGGGAAACUUUCAAGUGACCAUGGUGGUCUGUAUUUCAGUAAUAAAAAUUCCUAUUGCAAAACUACAAAAUUUAAUUGGUAUCAAAGGCUUCCUCUCAGUUCAUUUUGUCAGUAAAAGGUAUUAAUUCAUGAUCAAGCCUCUCUCUUUUAUUUCAAUUUCUGGAUUUUUUUUUACAUUUUCAUAAAUGAUUUACACUGUUGCAAAUCUAUCAUAAGAGACAAGAGAGCAAGGCCUUCUGUCUCUUAACUACUUUAAAAAAACACUCAAAUAUGGUAGGUUAGAAUGAGAAUCAAAGUUUUAUAAUCUAGUUUUAUACUGUAUAUAAACUCACUCUUCAGUAAUCAACAUUGUCAGAAAAUUUUUGAAACCAGUGACAGUUUAAGACUUAACAUAUAGAGUGAUACAGUGAUUGCAGCACUUGUGUGAAUAGAUAGCACACAGUUACCAAGUGUCUUAAGUGUCUUUUGCCAGGGGGUUAUAGGCAAUAAACCCUGAUCAACAGCAUGCUGAGUACAUUUCACCUUUGUGACUGGGGUGACACGUUCUUUGCUAGGCAGAACCCACAGAUGUUCUUGGGUUCAGCCAAAAUGUGCUUGCUGAAAUAGUGUAAAAAAGUGUGACAAGGUCUGUAUGGAUGUCCAAAGAAGAGCAAUGAAGCUAGAGAAAACUCUGAAGAACAGAACCUGAGCAGCAGCAGCUGAGGGAGCUGGGAGUGUUCAGCCUGUAGAAAAGAAGGCUCAGGGAGACCCUAUCUCUACAACUACCUGAAAAGAGCUUGUAGGCAGAUGAAGGUUGAUCUCUUCUCAUGAGUAACAAACAAUAGGAUAAGGCAAAAUGUUCUCAAGUUGCACCAGCAAGGGUUUAGAUUGGAUAUUAGAAGAAAUUUCUUCCUGGAAGAGGUUGUCAAGCACUGAAACAGGCUGCCCACAGAAGUGGUGGAGUCACCAUACCUGAAGAUAUUUAAAAGAUAUGUAGAUGUGGCAGUUAGGAACAUUGUUUACUAGUGGACUUAACAAUGCUUGAAUGGUUGAACUGGAUGAUCUUACAGUUCUUUUCAAGCCUAAAUGAUUCUAUGGUUCUGUGGCUCUAUGAUAAUCAACACCAUAUACUAAAAUACCAUUUUGUUCCUGGCAUGUAGUAUCUUUCUUAUGUCUGUUUUAUAUAGGACAGAAGGGGGUAAUCUUACUGAUUAAUUCUCAUUCUGUUUGCUUGUGCAAGACUGACUGGAGAGUGCAGGCAGCCUGAUCUCAAUUUCUAAUUUCAGGAGAAAAAAAGCUUUUAUUGAAGUCUGCACCAGAUGGAAAUGCAGAACCCAGCCCAUUGCAAGUGAAAUGAAUUGUUUUACAUAUUUGAAUUUGAUAUAAUUUGUAUUGUAAAAACUUUGUGACCUACAUCCAGCAGCAAGACAGUCAACGCUACUUUGUUCUCACCCUUGCUUUUAUUUAUAUUUGAGUAAGCAUGCUGGAUCUCAUAGCAAAACUUUCACUAUUUGAUAUAGCAGUUUAUGUUUUUCUUGUUAUUGUCAGAUUUUAGGAAAACAUUCAUCCUAAUUCUAGUCAUGAAAGCAGAGCUGCAUGCAUUUUCACAGUGGAAGUUUUUUUGUUUGUUUGAGUUUUUUGACACUGCAGUUAAACCAACAAUAAUUUUAGGAUAGUUUAAUAUUGAAACUUGGAGUCCAGCAUAAUAAAUAUUCGCUCAGUGAAUACCAAGAAAGAUAUCUUAAAACAAACUGAUGGACAUCUUAAAUUCAUCCACUGUGGUGGUUUUGCUUGGCGUAGAGUUGAUUUUGCUUUCCUAAUGUGUGUGGCUUUUGCUUUACCUAUUGAUCUGUCUUUAUCUCAACCCAAGAGUUGUUUUCUCACUUUUGCUCUUAAGAUUCUCUCCCACAUCCAAGUGGUGGGGAGUGAGUGAGCGGCUGUGUGGGGCUGAGUUGCUAGGUGGGGUUAAAUCACAGCAGCCAUUUAAGGAGAAAGCAUAAUGGAAAAUUUAGUCAAUUAUCACUGGUCUUGGUACAUCUACACAAGAACACUGUAGCACUGUGUGGAGACGUUAGUUUGGUUUUGGAAGGCUCUGUGUCCAUUCUAGUAUAGUUAUUAUGCUUCUGAGUUUCAAAGGAAAAUGAAGUUUUUUGUUCAAGAAUCACUGUGUUGUAUUUCACAGUGUAAUGUAGAAGUGCUCAUUGUAAAUCUCAUAUUGAUGUUGUGACACGACUCACAGAAAACCAUAAAUGUCAGUAAUCUUGCUGGAAAAAACUCUCAAUUAUAAAUGUUAAACCAUGGUAUGUUCUGAACUUGUAAAGAACUAUAACUUCUUAGAGCAGUCUUAUACAAAUAACAUAUGUAUUUUCGUAAAAUUGUAAUAAAG